rnacentral:tRNA from 1 species
GUCACUUUGCCGGAGUGGUUAACGGGAUCGCCUGCUACUUAUCAGCGAAGCGGUUGGGCUUUGCCCGCGAGUGUUCGAAUCGCUCAGGUGACG